UGGGGAAUAUUUGACAAUGGGCGAAAGCCUGAUCCAGCCAUGCCGCGUGUGUGAAGAAGGUCUUCGGAUUGUAAAGCACUUUAAGUUGGGAGGAAGGGCAGUAAGCGAAUACCUUGCUGUUUUGACGUUACCGACAGAAUAAGCACCGGCUAACUCUGUGCCAGCAGCCGCGGUAAUACAGAGGGUGCAAGCGUUAAUCGGAAUUACUGGGCGUAAAGCGCGCGUAGGUGGUUCGUUAAGUUGAAUGUGAAAGCCCCGGGCUCAACCUGGGAACUGCAUCCAAAACUGGCGAGCUAGAGUAGGGCAGAGGGUGGUGGAAUUUCCUGUGUAGCGGUGAAAUGCGUAGAGAUCUGGAGGAAUACCGAUGGAGAAGGCAGCCAUCUGGCCUAACACUGACGCUGAGGUACGAAAGCAUGGGGAGCAAACAGG
rnacentral:rRNA from 1 species